UGGGCAAUCUGCCCUUCACUCUGGGACAAGCCCUGGAAACGGGGUCUAAUACCGGAUACCACUCCUGCCUGCAUGGGCGGGGGUUGAAAGCUCCGGCGGUGAAGGAUGAGCCCGCGGCCUAUCAGCUUGUUGGUGGGGUAAUGGCCCACCAAGGCGACGACGGGUAGCCGGCCUGAGAGGGCGACCGGCCACACUGGGACUGAGACACGGCCCAGACUCCUACGGGAGGCAGCAGUGGGGAAUAUUGCACAAUGGGCGAAAGCCUGAUGCAGCGACGCCGCGUGAGGGAUGACGGCCUUCGGGUUGUAAACCUCUUUCAGCAGGGAAGAAGCGAAAGUGACGGUACCUGCAGAAGAAGCGCCGGCUAACUACGUGCCAGCAGCCGCGGUAAUACGUAGGGCGCAAGCGUUGUCCGGAAUUAUUGGGCGUAAAGAGCUCGUAGGCGGCUUGUCACGUCGGAUGUGAAAGCCCGAGGCUUAACCUCGGGUCUGCAUUCGAUACGGGCUAGCUAGAGUGUGGUAGGGGAGAUCGGAAUUCCUGGUGUAGCGGUGAAAUGCGCAGAUAUCAGGAGGAACACCGGUGGCGAAGGCGGAUCUCUGGGCCAUUACUGACGCUGAGGAGCGAAAGCGUGGGGAGCGAACAGGAUUAGAUACCCUGGUAGUCCACGCCGUAAACGUUGGGAACUAGGUGUUGGCGACAUUCCACGUCGUCGGUGCCGCAGCUAACGCAUUAAGUUCCCCGCCUGGGGAGUACGGCCGCAAGGCUAAAA
rnacentral:rRNA from 1 species